rnacentral:rRNA from 1 species
GAUGAACGCUGGCGGUGUGCCUAAUACAUGCAAGUCGAGCGAGCAGACGAGGAGCUUACUCCUCUGACGUUAGCGGCGGACGGGUGAGUAACACGUGGAUAACCUACCUAUAAGACUGGGAUAACUUCGGGAAACCGGAGCUAAUACCGGAUAACAUGUUGAACCGCAUGGUUCAACAGUGAAAGACGGUCUUGCUGUCACUUAUAGAUGGAUCCGCGUCGCAUUAGCUAGUUGGUAAGGUAACGGCUUACCAAGGCAACGAUGCGUAGCCGACCUGAGAGGGUGAUCGGCCACACUGGGACUGGGACACGGUCCAGGCUCCUACGGGAGGCAGCAGUAGGGAAUCUUCCGCAAUGGGCGAAAGCCUGACGGAGCAACGCCGCGUGAGUGAAGAAGGUCUUCGGAUCGUAAAACUCUGUUAUUAGGGAAGAACAAAUGUGUAAGUAACUAUGCACGUCUUGACGGUACCUAAUCAGAAAGCCACGGCUAACUACGUG